GCCCCUCCCUUAGGAAUGCUGCUGCGCACACACCUUCACAAUUUGUUUUGAUUUUAACCCCUUCUUAACCCUGGGCGUACAUUGAAAAUAUACGCAACCCUAACUCAAAAUGCCGGACAUUUGAGGCAUUUAAGAAACCCCGCCCGGACAAGCCCGCAAAAGAGGACAUGUCCGGGGAAAAGAGGGCGUAUGGGUUCACCCCGCCUUCCGCCCGAAUGCAGCUGGGAUAGGCUCCAGCUACCCUGAGAGGGACAAGCAGUAAAAAAUGGAUGGAUGAAUUGUUGCGCGCCCACGGCUGACCAACUGAAGAAGAGAAGGAUGUCACGUGGACGUGCUACAGAGUCGUGACUAAUCCAGAGGUGCUGCGUCAAGUGGUGAAUUUUAGUUUGGGAGUGUGCGAAUUGCACGAGAGGCUCGACAGAGAAGGGAUGCCGGCGUUGGCGGCCGUGGCCUGGCUCUCCACAAACACGGGGUCAAGGCACGCCACUUUGGCAGCGAAGAAAGCGUGAAUGCAGUGAAGCACCGCAAAUAGGUUGGAAAACUCCAGUUCCUGCACAAAUUAAAUCAACAAGAGAGUCAUCUUUUCUUUUAUUAAGACACGAUCUAAAGAGUUAUUUUACCUUUGCUUCGAUGGAUUUGGAGU